GAUGAACGCUAGCUACAGGCUUAACACAUGCAAGUCGAGGGGAAACGAUAUUGGAAGCUUGCUUCCGAUAGGCGUCGACCGGCGCACGGGUGAGUAACGCGUAUCCAACCUGCCCAUCACUUGGGGAUAACCUUGCGAAAGUAAGACUAAUACCCAAUGACGUCUCUAGAAGACAUCUGAAAGAGAUUAAAGAUUUAUCGGUGAUGGAUGGGGAUGCGUCUGAUUAGCUUGUUGGCGGGGUAACGGCCCACCAAGGCGACGAUCAGUAGGGGUUCUGAGAGGAAGGUCCCCCCACAUUGGAACUGAGACACGGUCCAAACUCCUACGGGAGGCAGCAGUGAGGAAUAUUGGUCAAUGGACGAGAGUCUGAACCAGCCAAGUAGCGUGAAGGAUGACUGCCCUAUGGGUUGUAAACUUCUUUAUACGGGAUAAAGUGAGGCACGUGUGCCUUUUUGUAUGUACCGUAUGAAUAAGGAUCGGCUAACUCCGUGCCAGCAGCCG
rnacentral:rRNA from 1 species